UCAAAAUUCAAAACCAUUCUUCUCUCAACUUAAACCCCCGAGAUUUCAUCACCUAAAGACCCGCGCCUCCUAGAUCAGUAAAUCCCCCUCCAUCAUCUUUUCUCUCAACACCUCCGGUCAUUCACUGCAACCAUCAGAUUUUGUAAAUAGGAGGUUGAAAACCUAAUUCAUGGAGAUGUACCAAUGGAGCACGGGUCAGAAUGGGUCAGGACGGAGCAUAUCCAACAACCGGAAUAGAUAAAACCGGGGCAUGAAACCGGGCUUGAAGGUACUGUUUCAUGUACUAUGUGUUUUACAGUUUGUUUUUUUGUGGAUUUUUCUAGGGUGCAGCCACUAUUAAUGCCAUUCUCGCCUAGCCAAUCAUCACAAGAAUUAUCAGUUGGAUUGGAUUUCACUAAUAGCUAGCUGCUAUGAACCAACAUCAUUGAUCUCGCUGAUCCAAAUGAGCUUGACUUGCUGUGAAAAGUUAUCACCAUCUAAUUGAGGCCACGUUCAAAGAUUUUGCAAGAGCUCUUAGAUAAGCGAUAGAAUACGACCGACGGUGACGUGGCACUAUCCCUAGAAACUACAAAAGAACAUAUGCUAUAGCUCAAAAGAGGUAUUGGCGCGUUCCUGGAGUGCGCUCUAAAAGAAAAAAAAAAGGAUCAUGGAUUGAAAUGGAAAUUGUGAUGAUGUGGCUGUUAGUCCUUGUUACAGACUAAAAAAUAAGAACAUUGUUGUUCAUCAUAUCAUGAAAUUUAAAGCUCGCUACUACAAUACUGAUGACAGUGUACGCUAUGAGGGC